rnacentral:tRNA from 1 species
GGGGUGUUAGUAAAUCAAUUACACAGCCUUGUCAAGACUGAGUCACAGGCGAAACUCCUGUACGCCCUA